GAAAAAUUGGUGGAUUUCAAGUAAUCAAGCAAUCAAAGGUGGUGAGUCCUCCGACAAGGGCAAGGAAAUUGUACCCGAGGAUCGAUAAUCGAAGUACUUUAGAAAUUUGACUUUCGAAAUAGGGGCGAGUUUUCUGUGGACCAGCAUAUUAGAGGGGCACAGAAUCCCGAUAUAU